AUGACCUAACGGUUGAACCAGCAACUUGGAAGAAUGAUGUGUAUUAAUAAUAAUUAAUAUAGAGAACGCGUAGGCGUAUAAAAUUCUGUAUAGAUUAAAGAUAAUGACAAUUAUCUAUUUAUUAGUCUUGACCAAUACUACGUGCCAGCAGUCGCGGUAAUACGUAAGAGACAAGUGUAAGUCAUCUUUAUUAGGUUUAAAGUGUACAUAGACGGAAAAUUAAACCUUUAAAUAGGUACUUUUUUUCUAGAGUUUUAUGUGAGAAGUAGUGAAUUUUUGAUAAAGAGAUAGAAUAUGCUAAUAUCAAAGAGACAGGUAAUAGCUAAUACGAUCUUCUUUGUAAAAACUGACGUUAAGAUACGAAGGCUUGGGUAGCGAGCAGGAUUAGAUACCCUAGUAGUCCAAGCAGAAAACUAUGAAUGUCAUAAUCUAAAAAACUUUUUAGCUUAUAAAUAAAAGUGCAAGCAUUCCACCUCAAGAGUACAAUGGCAACAUUAAAACUGAAAUCAUUAGGCCGUCUCUGAAACCAGUAGUGAAGUAUGUUAUUUAAUUCGAUAACCCGCGAUUAAUCUUACCACAAUUUGAAUAAUAUUUAAUUAUAUUACAUGUGCUGCACGGCUGUCUUUAGUUAAUGUCGUGAGAUAAGGUUAAUUCCUACAAUUAACGUAACCCUUAAUUUUAUUUAUAUGUAUAAUAUGCUCCUCCACUAUAUUGGGGUAGAUACAUAGGAUCAAGACAAGUCAUUAUGGCCAAAUA
rnacentral:rRNA from 1 species